AGCAGCAGCUAAGAAUCUUCCGCAAUGGGCGAAAGCCUGACGGAGCGACGCCGCGUGAACGAAGAAGGCCGUGAGGUUGUAAAGUUCUUUUCGGGAGGGGGAACGACCGUGGCAGGGAAUGGCCGCGGGAUGACGUGAAUCCCGGAAUAAGCCCCGGCUAACUACGUGCCAGCAGCCGCGGUAACACGUAGGGGGCGAGCGUUGUUCGGAAUCAUUGGGCGUAAAGGGCGUGCAGGCGGUCCUGCAAGUCCGGCGUGAAAGACCCCGGCCCAACCGGGGGGGCGCGCUGGAAACUGCAGGGCUUGAGUACAGGAGGGGAUGCCGGAAUUCCAGGUGUAGGGGUGAAAUCUGUAGAUAUCUGGAGGAACACCAAUGGCGAAGGCAGGCAUCUGGCCAUGUACUGACGCUGAGACGCGAAGGUGCGGGGAGCAAACAGGUUUAGAUACCCUGGUAGUCCGCACAGUAAACGAUGUGCACCAGGUGGCGGGGGGUCGACCCCCGGUACCGUAGCCAACGC
rnacentral:rRNA from 1 species